rnacentral:lncRNA from 1 species
AUGAGUCGAAUUUGAGUAGCUACGAAUUGCUCAACUCAUUUGCACUUUUAGAUCGAUCAUUUUUUAUUUAUCUUGAUAAUAAAUAUUUCUUAUAUCAUAUUUUGGGAUAUUGUACGGCGUUGGGCUUUUGAAUUUGAAUUUGGCCUUCUUUUGGCCAUAGGCAUCGUAGCUUUAUGUCAAGUCUAUCCUUUUCUAUUUGUA